rnacentral:rRNA from 1 species
AUUGAACGCUGGCGGCAUGCUUUACACAUGCAAGUCGAACGGCAGCACGGGUGCUUGCACCUGGUGGCGAGUGGCGGACGGGUGAGUAAUGCAUCGGAACGUGUCCUGAAGUGGGGGAUAACGCAUCGAAAGAUGUGCUAAUACCGCAUAUUCUCUGAGGAGGAAAGUAGGGGAUCGAAAGACCUUAUGCUUUUGGAGCGGCCGAUGUCUGAUUAGCUAGUUGGUAGGGUAAUGGCUUACCAAGGCGACGAUCGAGUAGUUGGUCUGAGAGGACGACCAGCCACACUGGGACUGAGACACGGCCCAGACUCCUACGGGAGGCAGCAGUGGGGAAUUUUGGACAAUGGGCGCAAGCCUGAUCCAGCAAUGCCGCGUGAGUGAAGAAGGCC